AGAGUUUGAUCAUGGCUCAGGAUGAACGCUGGCGGCGUGCCUAACACAUGCAAGUCGAACGUGAGGGAAUACUUGUAUUCCCAAAAGUGGCGAACGGGUGAGUAACACGUAGGUAACCUGCCGCGUAGUGGGGAAUAACGACUGGAAACGGUCGCUAAUACCGCAUAGGUCUGGGGGGACGGGAGUCUCUUUGGGCAAAGCCUAGGUGCUACGCGAGGGGCCUGCGUCCGAUUAGCUAGUUGGUGAGGUAAAGGCUCACCAAGGCUGAGAUCGGUAGCUGGUCUGAGAGGACGAUCAGCCACACGGGAACUGAGACACGGUUCCGACUCCUACGGGGGGCAGCAGUGAGGAAUAUUGCACAAUGGGGGCAACCCUGAUGCAGCAACGCCGCGUGGGGGAUGAAGGCCUUUGGGUUGUAAACCCCUUUUCUCGGGGAAGAGGAAGGACGGUACUCGAGGAAUCAGUCACGGCUAACUACGUGCCAGCAGCCGCGGUAAUACGUAGGUGGCGAGCGUUAUCCGGAAUUACUGGGCGUAAAGCGCACGUAGGCGGCUGUUUAAGUCUAACGUGAAAGCUCCUGGCUUAACUGGGAGAGGACGUUGGAGACUGGAUGGCUUGAGGCGAUGAGAGGGGCGUAGAAUUCCCGGUGUAGUGGUGGAAUGCGUAGAUAUCGGGAGGAAUACCAGUGGCGAAAGCGGCGUCCUAGCAUUGGCCUGACGUUCAUGUGCGAAAGCGUGGGGAGCGAACGGGAUUAGAUACCCCGGUAGUCCACGCGGUAAACGAUGAACACUAGGUGUGGGGAGUGUUAAAACUGUCCGUGCCGAAGCCAACGCGUUAAGUGUUCCGCCUGGGGAGUACGGCCGCAAGGCUAAAACUCAAAUGAAUUGACGG
rnacentral:rRNA from 1 species